UAAGGAAACUUGCCUAACAUUUCGGCCCACAUCCUGAAGUCUGACAUUCGCUGUUUAAACCUAACUUCGCAAUCACUUUUUUUUAAUGUAGACCAGAACUCUUGUGGUUUGACUGGACCCGAGGUGUUUUGCUGAGAGCGUUAAUUACUGUAACUGCAACACUAAUCGAUGUCGUGUUCAUGUUAUUGACCGAGACGUCAGCAGGUCAGAGUUGGGUUAGAAGCUGUGAAGCGAAAGCAAUAUGUUAUUUAUCAAAACACUUCAUGAGACUUUGUAACUCACUGUUCAGCAGAAUUGAAGGCCAAUUUAAAGGGAUACUUUGUUCUAAAGAUUUUUUUUGCAGAAGAGAGUCUUGUGCUGUUUGUGACAAGCAGGCCUCACGCACUGACAAACUCCGUCACGUGUUGGUGUGACUCAAUUGGAAAGGAAUGAGAAAAAGAGAGUGAAAACCUUAUCGUGGAAUGGGUGCCCUGUUAAGGCAGCAGAGAGUCUGGAUGCGACUGACCUGCUGAUCGAUCGAUACCUGUUCCAGAGUGAACUCAGAUUUCUGUGUUUUCCUGAAUGAAACAAAAAUUGGAAGGAUUUCCAACUCUGACCUUGAUGAGGAAGGUUUGGAACAAUCCGACUGAUCGCUGGCAACAGAACAUAAAGAAUAUAAUAAUCCCUCACAUUGUCAAGACAUUGCUUCACGGGAUCUACUGUCAAGUGCAAA